UAACGCUUGAACUUUUGUACGGAAAUAACAUUAUAUUAUUAUGUCCGUCGAGUUGGCACCGACACAUUAUGCUAGGACUUUACAACUAGUAUCAAUAUUUUACUAGGAAUUUGCUAGAACUCACCCUCACUCACCCUUUACUCAGGGAUGGAGAGUGGCCGGUCUGGAAAUUGGAAUUCUAGUAUCAAAUUUUGACGAAAAUCGUUUUAGUAAAAAUUAAUGACGAACAAAUCUAGUUUUCAGUCGAUAUAAAUUGUUUCAAUAAAUUUAUAUUUUAUGAUUAUAUAAAAAAUAUAUUUCUAAAAAAGCAAUUUUUCUCUCAGAAUCGUUAAUCGUUAGCAAUGUAUAAUCAUUGUUUAAAUUACUCUCUCUAUACCACUUCCUACCAUUCCAACUUCUUGUCGUCCACCCACUGUAUGAAGUAUGUCCGUAUUUUUUUUUAUACUGUUAACUUUUCUAACAGAAUUUUUGCUCCGAUAUACAAAGUUUAUCAUCAAAUUUAAAAAACUGUAUACGUGGUACAUUUUAACCACUAUUAAACAAAUUUAAAUUUGAUCGAUAUAAUAAAGAUAAGUUAAUCAUUAUAUCGUUAUUAUUAUUAUUUGUAAUACCUAGGUACUGACAAUACUGAUCAUCAUACAUCUGUUUUCUAUAUUAGUAUUUAAUCCUUUUGUUUUUAUCAAUACCUAAUACUGAGGUAAAUUUUAUUUGCUUUACAAUCAGUUUAAAAUUUGAAACCUCACCCGAAACCGACAGAGGUCCUAGCAAAAUCCAAAAAUGCCUUAACAAAAUCUAGCAAAUCAAUCUGAAUAUUUUGGCAUAAUUUCUUUUGGACUCAGACAAUGUGCCGGUGCAGCCACAAAGAUAGCACCAGCAUGUUUGUUUGUGGAUUUCCGAAGUUUGUGGGCCAUACCAAAAUCCAAAAAUGACCUAACAAAAUCUAGCAAAUUCUUAGCAAAAUAUUUAUUCUAGUUGUUGAGUCCUAGCAUAAUGUGCCGGUGCCAUUAUAUUAUUCUUACCUUGCACCGGUCGGUCAGCGUCUAGUAGAAGCUCAUUAAAUGGACGACCGUUGCAGCAGUGAUUAAUGACGCAUACGGCCGAAUCUAUUUCGUAUACCUUUUUCGUAGUCAUAUAGAAGCCGCAGAUGGUUGCGCAUUGCAACGAUUGUGGAUUUACGAACGUUAGCGGCCGAUAUAAUUACCUCGGAGUAACUGUUAUAUAUAAAAAUAACGUACAGUUUUUCGGAAUACGCCCUAUCCCAACAAUACCACUUUAUAAUAACUGAAAAAAUAAAACGGGUCGAGUACACUCCAUAUGUAUGCGUACGCAGCUGCUAGCAAUCAUCAAAGAAUUUUAUCUUCAAAUUUUGUAUUUUUAAUUAUUUUUGUAUUUGUUUUUCGCUGUUCAACUGUCUCUUUUUAUCCAUUUUAAUUAUGCGACUAUUUACUGUACACUACCGUUUGGUAAGACCAAGAUAAUAUUAUGAUACUGAGAGAGACUAAAACUCUGAUAAACACAAUAUUAUUACAAAAUAUAUUACAAAUAACGAAAUAUUUAGGUAGGUAAGUACUAUGCAUUUAAUUAAACCGAUAAUUUUUUUCUCAAAUAUUUCACGAAAUUAAAACAAAACAUUAGAUUUGAGCAAUACGUAAUUCUAUUGCGAAUUACUUAACUGUAUUUAUAAUUUUAUACACAAAUAUUUUAUUAUUUAUAAAGUUGUUUACGAUCACUGCCAAGAAAAACAAAACAAAAAAAAAAAAAACAGUUAUGUCUUACGCCUAUGACCUGUAGUAUUGUAUGAAUCUUAACCCCUGAAAAAACUGAUGAAAAUGAAUUGUAAGGGCCUCUUAGAAAAAAAAAUUUUGUAGACGGCCUUUGAAGCAGUAAAGGAUAAUUUGAACCCGGCGAGUGAGCCGAAAGAAAUCAAAGAGCUAUAUAGAAAACGUAUGGAGAAAACGAUAUUUUAAAGCCAAAAUAGGAGGAUUGCGCCAUGCACGGAGAAGUCUAAAACCCCUGCCUUAGCAAUGUUUGAACAGAACAUCCAAUAGGAAAAAACGGAAAGGCCGAAGAUUACGUAGAAUGACGUGGUAACAAAAAAUGUGAACAUUUUAGAAGAUGGAUUUAAGGAUGACUAGAGAAUUGGUUGUAAGAUGGACGACGGUCCUAUAGAG